rnacentral:rRNA from 1 species
AUUGAACGCUGGCGGCAGGCCUAACACAUGCAAGUCGAGCGAGCGGCGGACGGGUGAGUAAUGUCUGGGAAACUGCCUGCUGGAGGGGGAUAACUACUGGAAACGGUAGCUAAUACCGCAUACCAUCAGAUUUGCCCAGAUGGGAUUAGCUCGUAGGUGGGGUAACGGCUCACCUAGGCGACGAUCCCUAGCUGGUCGGAGAGGAUGACCAGCCACACUGGGACUGAGACACGGUCCAGACACGUACGGGAGGCAGCAGUGGGGAAGAUUGGAAGAGGGGCGCAAGCCUGAUGCAGCCAUGCCGCGUGUGUGAAGAAGGCAUUCGGGUUGUAAAGCACUUUCAGCGGGGAGGCGUUACCCGCAGAAGAAGCACCGGCUAACUCCGUGCCAGCAGCCGCGGUAAUUC